GAUCUAUGUAAAAAAGAAACUCAUCUAAAGUGCAUUAGUGGUAACAAGAAAUACAUUACAUGGCAAGAAAAACUGUAAACACAUAUGUAAUUUGUGCUGUCUAGCUGAAUUGCCUUUCCAAGAAAAGCAUCACACUGCAAACGCACAGAUAAAUGAAGGUACAGGCAAUAUAAAUGAAGAAGUUAAUGAAGAACAUACUGACAUCACUACACCAUCAAAAAGUGACAACAAAAUUUAUGAAACUUUUAAUAACAAAGGGUUACACAUAGUACACAUAAACAGCCGCUCACUCAUGAACAAACUGGAAGAAAUAAAGAUAUUGGCACUCAAAACUAAUGCGGCAGUUUUGUGCAUUACAGAAACUUGGCUGGACGAUUCAGUUACCAACAAUGAAAUAGAAAUUAACGGAUAUCAGGAAAGGAUGGCAGGUGGUGCCGCGGUGAACACUCCCAACACGUGCAGGAGGAAGGAAAGGAUGGCAGGUGGUGCCGCGGUGAACACUCCUAACACGUGCAGGAGGAAAGUGAGUACCUGCUUCAUUACAUCAUGUGCACUCUGUUUUCGAACUCGCUGUUAAACUUUUUUUUUUCCUAUGUCAACUGAAACCUGUCACUGUUGCCUGCCUUUCUCCUGUCUGCUUCCCACGAGUCUAUGAAAGAAAGAAAGGAUGUGCUUCCAUGGUAUCGUGUCAGUAGUAUUAUCCAUUGAAGGAUUAGUUUAAACCUUUUUCCAAAGCGUUGUUUUUGUUUCCCAUUUUUGUGCCUUCCUAGGGUGUAUAUAUGAAAGAAGAAAGAAUGUAAAUUUAGUCUAAAAUGUUCAUUGCAACAUCUUACAGGGAAAAAAGUCCUUUGAGGAUUAACCGAGAAACUUUUUCAAAACCAAAAUUUUUGUAUUCCAGUCUUCGUGUGCUUAUUUUAUUGUAUGCAUAAAGAAAAGAAGGAUACGAAAUCAUAUAUUUUCUAUAAUGGUGUCAUCUUGUUGGUAUAAAUAUUUACUUGGAGAUUCAGUUCAAACCUAGCAAUUAGCUGUCAUUUCUGCGUUCGUUUUUUUUUUUUUUUUUCGUAUAUAUCUUCUGUAUGUGCGAAUAUAUGAGUGAAAAAAGGAAAGAUGCAGUUACAAAAAAACCUUUCCUCAAUAACAAGAAUAUUCACUUGAGGACUUUUUCAGGUAACAAAUAUCAGAUCUAAAUUUAUCUGUUUAUCUAUCCUUUACUGCGUUUUACCGUUAUGUAGAUUAAUAAUAUUUUGCAUGUUAUGAUAAAGUGUCCUUGUAAACUAUUUCUGUAACAAUUUUUAUUUAGUGUGAAUUUGUUUUCCACUUAAGAUAAAAAAAUAAAAAAUAAAAAAUUCCUUGUCUGGAGAAAACAUAUUUACAUUUUCUUUGUUCAAUUGGUAUUGAUAUUCUUUUUAACUCUGAUUUCCCGGGAAGUGUUACCACCAUGAUAUUUGUGACCUAACCUAAGGCAACUUUUUAGCGUCAUAACCUUUGUUGCAGCUUUAUUCAAGUAAAAUCAAAGAGAGGAAAGCUUGUAUUGUUC